rnacentral:misc_RNA from 1 species
AAGUCGUACCAACGGUUUCCGUAGGUGAACCUGCGGAAGGAUCAUUAACACGUAUCCAAACGUUAAAACCCCCCCCGUGAACCUUCAUCCUGCUCUUGUAACCCGCGUAGUUCGCAAUCUCUGAUAAAUGAUAGCCCGGAAAGUUGUAGUGAUUCAGAGACCUCUGGCUACGUGCGAAAGUGUCAUUGAUUGAGCAAGGAUAGCGCUUCUACGAUUCCUGUAGACCGUACACUCGGGCAGGAGCUUUGCCAAAGGGUCCCCAUGCCCCCUAAUAACCCCACAGUUGAAUGUGAAGCUCAAUGUAAUACAUUGGGUAAAAAAACCGAACAACUGUUAACAAUGGAUAUCUUGGUUCUC